UACGUAGGGUGCAAGCGUUGUCCGGAAUUAUUGGGCGUAAAGAGCUCGUAGGCGGUCUGUCGCGUCGGAUAUGAAAAUCCAGGGCUCAACCCUGGACCUGCAUUCGAUACGGGCAGACUAGAGUUCGGUAGGGGAGACUGGAAUUCCUGGUGUAGCGGUGAAAUGCGCAGAUAUCAGGAGGAACACCGGUGGCGAAGGCGGGUCUCUGGGCCGAAACUGACGCUGAGGAGCGAAAGCGUGGGGAGCAAACAGG
rnacentral:rRNA from 1 species